AGUGAACGCUGGCGGCGUGCUUAACACAUGCAAGUCGAACGAGAACGGAAUAUAGCUUGCUAUAUUUGUCAGCUAAGUGGCGCACGGGUGAGUAAUGUAUAGAUAACCUGCCCUUAAGAAAGGAAUAACAGUUGGAAACGACUGCUAAUGCCCUAUAUGCCUUUAAUACAUAAGUAUGCAAGGGAAACGCUUUAGUGCUUAAGGAUGGGUCUGUAUGGUAUCAGCUUGUUGGUGAGGUAAUGGCUCACCAAGGCUAUGACGCCUAACUGGUUUGAGAGGAUGAUCAGUCACACUGGAACUGAGACACGGUCCAGACUCCUACGGGAGGCAGCAGUGGGGAAUAUUGCACAAUGGACGAAAGUCUGAUGCAGCAACGCCGCGUGGAGGAUGACACAUUUCGGUGCGUAAACUCCUUUUAUAUAGGAAGAUAAUGACAGUACUAUAUGAAUAAGCACCGGCUAACUCCGUGCCAGCAGCCGCCGUAA
rnacentral:rRNA from 1 species